CCAGAGGGGCCAAGAACUACUUUAUGAAGAGGAAGAUGAGGAUACUGGCAGAGUAAAAUCAUGGAGAAAAUGGAAGAACUGAAUGCAGACAUGAGAAGUUAAAUCACAGAAGAAAAGUUAAGCAGGAACUUGAGAGAGGGAUGAACUGUGACAAGUUGUAAGAAGGAAGACCAGGACUCACCAGGAAAAUAAUAAAUUGUCCUUGAUCGUACAAA
rnacentral:lncRNA from 1 species